GGUCUACAUCUUGCGAGCCACGAAGUGUGCAGCCAAAACUGGAAUGACAUCAUGCCGAGGAGACGCUGUGGCUGGAAUACCCAGAAGGCCCUGCAGGAGAACCAGGGACUGGAGGCAGCAGGCGGACGCUUGCAGUCAAGUUGAUGCGGCCCAGACUCACGCAGACUCGACCUCCAGCGCAACCCCAGGCCGUGCACAUGGACGUGACAUAUUUGCAUCUCGGAAUAAGCAAAAACGUUAGAUUUGGAUGAUGUCAGCACUUCUGGUUAAUCAUUGGCUCCUAAUGAACCAAUCACAAUCAAGAAAUGACGUUUCACGUGCGUCCCUUGGUUUCAUGAAAGCCGGCAAGACGAACAUGGCGAAGCGGAAUGAGAGAGGCAAACGUGAGUACUCAUUUUCCAUCAAAAAUAAUAAAAACAUGAAAAUGAUAUGUUUAUGUGACAUGUUACGGCCAUGUUAUUCUGGUGUCCAGCGUCAAAAACAACACAUAAAAACAUGACGUGUCAAUUUGAUGUGGGAUUGGAGUAAAAAUUUGUGGAAUUUGAUUUUUUUUUUUUUUGCCCAGCAGGAAAAUUUAAAAAAUAAGUAAUAAACAAAUAAAUAAAUAAUCCUGAUUGAUGUUUUCAAAUUUUUAUUUGUAUUUUUUGUGUUAUUUUUGGUAAUUUUUUAAAAUUAAAAAAUAUAUAAAAAUAAAGAAAUAAAUAAAAAAUAAAAUAAUUUUUAAAGAUGAAAUUAAACAA